GCACUCCAGCCUGGGCAACAGAGCGAGACUCCAUCUCAAAAAAAAUCAAUAAAUAAAGAGAAAAGAACGAAGCAGAUACAGGAGAGGAGAGCAGAGACACAGACCAAGAAGAGAGGCGGGAGGGGGGAAGAGGGAAGCCAACCUAUCCCGGAAGCCUCAGGCUCCCCUCCCUAGGCUAUCUCCAACACGUGGCAGCCGUUUUUACUCCAGGGUUCCAAGCGACCCUCCCAACACCCCUUUUCUGCUGAAACCACCUCAGGAGGGGUUUGAGGCCUGCGGCCAAGAGCCCUGACUGAGCAGCUCCAACAUCCCACCCCAUUCAACCUGGGGUCCUGGAGUGAUGCAAGCUGGCCGAGCCCCAACCCUGCGGGCCCCGGACUGUUGUCCACCCUCUUGCCUGGAAUGCUUCCUUCUCUGCCUCCCCACCCUUCAAGGCCCCACCCACACCAUCCCCCUCCUGGAUGGCGCCCCUCCCUGCUCCUCACCAUCCUCGGACACUUGGCUGUGAGUUCGUCUCGAGCCUGAACCAGAGGUCAGCUGAGGGCCUCUCCGCACCCCACCCCUCCAACUCACCAGCUCCUAGGCUUUACGUGCCCAACUGCCCUGUCUGCUGUCUCCUGAGCCUCCCCACAACACUGGGCCUCUGCAACCUUCGUGCCUUGGGAGGUGCUAUUCCCUUCAUCCAAAAUGCCUCCUUGCUAAGGCCCAUCUUGAAUCUGACCUCCUUCCUACGAGCCGCUAUUUACUCACUCUCAACAUACACCACGCACCGUGCUCCUGAGGACUGACCUGCUCACCUGCUCACCCGGUG
rnacentral:lncRNA from 1 species